AUGGUCAAUGGCCACUCGCGCACCAAGGAGCUGAUUCCCACCGGUCAGAGCAUCACCGCCAACUCUUUCAAUGUAGGAGGCCAUGAUUGGUUAAUCGAGUACUACCCUAACGGCGAAAACCCGGGCCGCGCCGACUUCAUUUCGCUCUUUCUGAACCUUCUCUACGACGCCGAUGACGACGACGAAGCGCCCGUGGAGGUCAGGUUCAGUUUCAGCCUCGUCGACCAGGUGGAGAAGCAGAUGCCGAUGUACAUUCGUGCAACCAGUGAAACCCGCAACUUCUCCAGCACUACCUCAAUCUGGGGCAAUGACAGGUUUCUCAGAAGAGACGCCCUUGAACAGUCUGCGGACCUCAAGUAUGAUUGUCUCAGCAUCCGGUGCGACGUCGUGGUCGUCCGCAACAGCAAGGUUGAUGAUGCCGGUGGCCACGGCGGCGCCGAGGCGCUCAUGCCGGACAUACACCAGCAUUUCAACAGUUUACUUCAAAACAAGGUGGGUGCCGAUGUGGCAUUCCAGGUUGGCGGCGAGACAUUCGCCGCACACCGGUGUGUGCUUGCUGCCCGAUCCACGGUGUUCAUGUCGCAACUCUUUGGCCCCAUGAAGGAUGCGUCCAACAGUGUCAUACAGAUCAAAGACAUGGAACCAAAGGUGUUCACGGCUUUGCUUAGCUUCAUCUACACAGACUCAUUCCCUGACAUGUACGAGGACAACAUUAAGUUGUGUGAAAUAUGCAAAGAUACGGGACAAGGACAAGAAGAUGAAAUGUCGGAAGCUGUGGGCCAAGGACAAGAUGGGGAAGCGGCAGAGGUUGAAGUGGGGCUGCUGCAAUGGCUGCAAGGCUUGUUUGUGGCGGCAGAGCGGUACGAUCUCCAGCGGCUCAAGUUCAUCUGUGUAAAGCAGUUGUCUCAGCGCAUAGGUGUGAGCUCUGUGGCGUCCACUCUUGCUCUAGCCGAGCAGCACCACUGUCGUGGAUUGAAGGAGGCAUGCUUGAAGUUUAUCCAAGUCCAAUCUCCCCCGUGUUUGCAGACACUAAUGGUGAGUAAUGGCUGGGGGCAUAUUGUCAUGACCUAUCCCUCUGUUUUGAACGAGCUCAUUGCCAUGCUUGCUUCUAACCAGAGGAAGUAA
rnacentral:rRNA from 1 species